CACGUAGGGGGCGAGCGUUGUCCGGAUUUAUUGGGCGUAAAGAGCUCGUAGGCGGCUCAGUAAGUCGGGUGUGAAAACUCCAGGCUCAACCUGGAGACGCCACCUGAUACUGCUGUGGCUAGAGUCCGGUAGGGGAGCAUGGAAUUCCUGGUGUAGCGGUGAAAUGCGCAGAUAUCAGGAAGAACACCCGUGGCGAAGGCGGCUCUCUGGUACGUGACUGACGCUGAGACGCGAAAGCGUGGGGAGCAAACAGG
rnacentral:rRNA from 1 species